UACGUAGGAGGCAAGCGUUGUCCGGAAUUACUGGGCGUAAAGAGCGUGUAGGCGGUAUGGCAAGUGGAAGGUGAAAUCCCUCGGCUUAACCGAGGAACUGCCCUCCAAACUGCUUUACUUGAGGCCGGGAGAGGUGAGUGGAAUUCCCAGUGUAGCGGUGAAAUGCGUAGAUAUUGGGAGGAACACCAGUGGCGAAGGCGGCGUCCUGGCCUGCUACUGACGCUGUGGCGCGAAAGCUAGGGGAGCGAACGGG
rnacentral:rRNA from 1 species